rnacentral:rRNA from 1 species
AUACGUAGGGUGCGAGCGUUGUCCGGAAUUACUGGGCGUAAAGAGCUCGUAGGUGGUUUGUCGCGUCGUCUGUGAAAUUCCGGGGCUUAACUCCGGGCGUGCAGGCGAUACGGGCAUAACUUGAGUACUGUAGGGGAGACUGGAAUUCCUGGUGUAGCGGUGAAAUGCGCAGAUAUCAGGAGGAACACCGGUGGCGAAGGCGGGUAUCUGGGAAUUAACUGACGCUGAGGAGAGAAAGCAUGGGUGGCGAACAGGAUUAGAUGCCCGGGUAGGCCAUGCCGUAAACGGUGGGCGUUAGGUGUAGGGGUCUUCCACGACUUCUGUGCCGUAGCUAACGCAUUAAGCGCCCCGCCUGGGGAGUACGGCCGCAAGGCGAAAACUCAAAGGAAUUGACGGGG